UACGGAGGGUGCAAGCGUUGUUCGGAUUUACUGGGCGUAAAGCGCGCGCAGGUGGAUGAGCAAGUCGGAAGUGAAAUCUUGAGGCUCAACCUCGAGGCUGCUCCCGAAACUGUUCGUCUAGGGACUGGUAGAGGCUGGUAGAAUUCCCGGUGUAGCGGUGGAAUGCGUAGAGAUCGGGAAGAAUACCCGUGGCGAAGGCGGCCAGCUGGGCCAGGUCCGACACUGAGGCGCGAAAGCGUGGGGAGCGAACAGG
rnacentral:rRNA from 1 species